GGAUGAAUUUUGGACAAUGGGGGAAACCCUGAUCCAGCGACGCCGCGUGGAGGACGAAGGUCUUCGGAUUGUAAACUCCUUUGUUUGGGACUAAGAAACCUGUAGAAAUAUGGGGAGUGAAUGUACCAGAUGAAUAAGCCACGGCUAACUUCGUGCCAGCAGCCGCGGUAAUACGAAGGUGGCAAGCGUUACUCGGAAUUACUAGGCGUAAAGGGCAGGUAGGUGGUUCGGCAAGUCUGUUGUGGAAGCU
rnacentral:rRNA from 1 species